UCCCUGGUGGCUCAGAUAAUAAAGAAUCUGCCUGCAAUGCAGGAGGCCCAGGUUCAAUCCCUGGGUUGGGAA
rnacentral:tRNA from 1 species